UACGGGGGGAGCAAGCGUUGUUUGGAUUUACUGGGCGUAAAGGGCGCGUAGGCGGUCAGCACAAGUCAGUUGUGAAAUCUCCGGGCUUAACUCGGAAAGGUCAACUGAUACUGUGCGACUAGAGUGCAGAAGGGGCAACUGGAAUUCUCGGUGUAGCGGUGAAAUGCGUAGAUAUCGAGAGGAACACCUGCGGCGAAGGCGGGUUGCUGGGCUGACACUGACGCUGAUGCGCGAAAGCCAGGGGAGCGAACGGG
rnacentral:rRNA from 1 species